CCGGAAGUGAGGAGGUGGGUGGGUGGGGAAGAAAUGGACAGGCUCCCCUUUUCUCUUUUCCUGGCUCCGAAUUCUUGGACCUGAACGGUCAUAAAGAGAGUUGUGUGCCUGGAGGAGGCUGCAAAAGACCCAUCCUUCAACCUGGUUCCUGAGUGCUGGAAGUCUGAUCAUGUGACCCCAAGGGGGUGUGUGGAAGUCAUCGUAACUUUGAAUCCUGGUUGACUGUAAUAAACAGAAUCGAAUUAUUUCCCCUCACCUUCCAAAAGGGGAAAGGAAGGGGGUCCCAGUUAAGCCCCCCCCAAAGCAGGAAAUUCUCGAUCCAGGUGUGCCCUUGAGAAGGUCCAUCCUUGCACAGUUCCAAAACUGACCUCAAGAUAUUUGUGGGACGUAGAACAGAGGUUCUUCGAAAGACUUCGCUUGGCAGAUUGUGUCUCUGAUACCGUAUUGAUCUGCUUUCUGGACUGAAGGAUAAAAACCAGCACUUUCAAUUCAACCUUCAGCGUCAACGAGGUGCCGACGAAGCCACGGAAACGACAAUAUGCAACAGAUUUACUGGCUGUGUAGAAAAACCAGUAACAACCCAAGGCCCCGUUGUGGUUUUGUUCCACCUGCAGUCUCCGUUGUUAAGUGAAUCGGCUCAGGUGUCCCCGGCAAUUAAAUCCUAGGUAACCAAGCUCCCCCACUGGCUUUGAAGGGAUUGCUGUGCAUUGUUUCCAAAAGGGCUUUCUUCCAGCUAAGAUAACAUUCCAUUAGAAUUAUGCGAGCAGCAUACCAAAGAUGCUCUCACACUGUAUUGCUGUUUGCUUCCCAUGUGACCCGGAGCUUGGCCAAAUUUGCAUUUUUAGAUCAUGUGCUCAACUUUGGGUGAGCAUAAGUUGGGUGGGUGCGCACAGCAGAAUGACGCCCGUCCUGGAUGGACUGUUUCCGUUUUCAUUUAUUGUUAAAAAUGUAUUGUAUUACUUUUUUUAUAAAUGACUCAGGGUGGUGAAUAUAUCUAAUCCUCCCUCCUCCUUCUAUCUUCCUCACAAUGACCCUCCGAGAGAGAGGGAUAAGGCCCAAAGUCCCCCCAGCAAGCCUUUGUGUUUAAAGCAGGACUAUAAUUCACUUUCUCCUAGCGAUUGGCCCAAAGUCACCCUGUUGGCUUUCAUGGCUAAGGCGGGAAUAGAACUCACCUUCUCCUCUCCACCC